rnacentral:rRNA from 1 species
AUUGAACGCUGGCGGCAGGCCUAACACAUGCAAGACGAGCGGGGUUUUCGGACCUAGCGGCGGACGGGUGAGUAAUGCGUAGGAAGCUGCCCGAUAGAGGGGGAUACCAGUUGGAAACGACUGUUAAUACCGCAUAAUGUCUACGGACCAAAGUGUGGGACCUUCGACGGCCACAUGCUAGUCGGAUGCGCCUACGUGGG